CUGUUGCGUCAAGGCUGGAUUUGUUCUGAGAAAUACCGGUGAACUUGAUCUGGAUAAUGCCAGCGAAAGGAUAUGCUUCUUGAAGACU
rnacentral:ncRNA from 1 species